rnacentral:rRNA from 1 species
AUACGUAGGGAGCGAGCGUUGUCCGGAAUUACCGGGUGUAAAGGGAGCGUAGGCGGGAGUGCAAGUCAGAUGUGAAAUACAUGGGCUCAACCCAUGGGCUGCAUUUGAAACUGCAUUUCUUGAGUGAAGUAGAGGUAAGCGGAAUUCCUGGUGUAGCGGUGAAAUGCGUAGAUAUCAGGAGGAACACCGGUGGCGAAGGCGGCUUACUGGGCUUUUACUGACGCUGAGGCUCGAAAGCGUGGGGAGCAAACAGGAUUAGAUACCCUGGUAGUCCACGCUGUAAACGAUGAUUACUAGGUGUGGGGGGACUGACCCCUUCCGUGCCGCAGUUAACACAAUAAGUAAUCCACCUGGGGAGUACGGCCGCAAGGUUGAAACUCAAAUGAAUUGACGGGG